rnacentral:rRNA from 1 species
CCUACGGGAGGCUGCAGUGGGGAAUAUUGGACAAUGGGGGCAACCCUGAUCCAGCCAUACCGCGUGUGUGAAGAAGGCCCUCGGGUUGUAAAGCACUUUCAGUGAGGAAGAACGCCUGGUGGUUAAUACCCAUCAGGAACGACAUCACUCACAGAAGAAGCACCGGCUAACUCCGUGCCAGCAGCCGCGGUAAUACGGAGGGUGCGAGCGUUAAUCGGAAUUACUGGGCGUAAAGCGCGCGUAGGUGGCUUGAUAAGCCGGUUGUGAAAGCCCCGGGCUCAACCUGGGAACGGCAUCCGGAACUGUGAAGCUAGAGUGCAGGAGAGGAAGGUAGAAUUCCCGGUGUAGCGGUGAAAUGCGUAGAGAUCGGGAGGAAUACCAGUGGCGAAGGCGGCCUUCUGGACUGACACUGACGCUGAGGUGCGAAAGCGUGGGUAGCAAACAGGAUUAGAUACCCCUGUAGUC